UACGUAGGGUGCAAGCGUUGUCCGGAAUCAUUGGGCGUAAAGAGCGCGUAGGCGGUCCGGUAAGUCGGUUGUGAAAACUGGGGGCUCAACCCUCAGAGGCCGACCGAUACUGUCGGGCUAGAGUCCGGAAGAGGCGAGUGGAAUUCCUGGUGUAGCGGUGAAAUGCGCAGAUAUCAGGAGGAACACCAAUGGCGAAGGCAGCACUCUGGGACGUGACUGACGCUGAGACGCGAAAGCGUGGGGAGCAAACAGG
rnacentral:rRNA from 1 species